rnacentral:rRNA from 1 species
GGUAUUUUGACUAUACGAAGGUAUUGAAAUAAGAUUUUAAAUGAGUGCUAAGAGAAUGAUUAAACAAUUAAAAGCUUUCUUUAAUUGAAUAAUUGAAUUUAAUUUUUUAGUGCAAAAGCAAAAAUAAAAAUUAGGGACAAGAAGACCCUAUGAAUUUUUUAUUAAAUUUUAUAAAACUUUAUAUAAAGUUUAAUUUAAUUGGGGUGAUGGAAAAAGAAUAAAUAUCUUUUUUUUAAAGAAAAUUGGUUCCGUUUUUAGCGAUUAAAUGAAAAAAAUACUCUAGGGAUAACAGCGUAAUAAUUUUGGAUAGUUCAUAUAGAUAAAAUAGUUUGCGACCUCGAUGUUGGAUUAGGAUUCUUUUUUGGUGAAGAAGU